GGGCUAAACCAUGCACCGAAGCUGCGGCAGCGACACUAUGUGUUGUUGGGUAGGGGAGCGUUCUGUAAGCCUGUGAAGGUGUACUGUGAGGUAUGCUGGAGGUAUCAGAAGUGCGAAUGCUGACAUAAGUAACGAUAAAGCGGGUGAAAAGCCCGCUCGCCGGAAGACCAAGGGUUCCUGUCCAACGUUAAUCGGGGCAGGGUGAGUCGACCCCUAAGGCGAGGCCGAAAGGCGUAGUCGAUGGGAAACAGGUUAAUAUUCCUGUACUUGGUGUUACUGCGAAGGGGGGACGGAGAAGGCUAUGUUGGCCGGGCGACGGUUGUCCCGGUUUAAGCGUGUAGGCUGGUUUUCCAGGCAAAUCCGGAAAAUCAAGGCUGAGGCGUGAUGACGAGGCACUACGGUGCUGAAGCAACAAAUGCCCUGCUUCCAGGAAAAGCCUCUAAGCAUCAGGUAACAUCAAAUCGUACCCCAAACCGACACAGGUGGUCAGGUAGAGAAUACCAAGGCGCUUGAGAGAACUCGGGUGAAGGAACUAGGCAAAAUGGUGCCGUAACUUCGGGAGAAGGCACGCUGAUAUGUAGGUGAAGUCCCUCGCGGAUGGAGCUGAAAUCAGUCGAAGAUACCAGCUGGCUGCAACUGUUUAUUAAAAACACAGCACUGUGCAAACACGAAAGUGGACGUAUACGGUGUGACGCCUGCCCGGUGC
rnacentral:rRNA from 1 species